ACCGGAUCUCUUCCACGAUCGGCUCCUCCCCGUCGAUCCCGCGUUCGUGAACCCAGGCGCCCGUUUCAAACGCAUCUUCAGCUUCCCCACCGCAUGCCAGCAACGCCCGUCUCCAAAUCCUCCGCAAUCACCGGCGAUCCCAGCCCCUCUUCCGUGAUCCGGCGAUCCCGCACCGCCCAGCCGAUCCCUGCAUCCGCGCCGGAUCUUCAACCAUGAUCAGCUCCCAUCAAUCACGAUCCUCUCCACGUGCUUGCUGAUGGGAUCUAUAUAAGAUCGGAGGAAGAGUAGAGAGGUGUGCUCGGUGGAGGCCAAGAAACAGAGGAGGGAGGAGAGGUUCCCGGUUUGGUUUGGAAGAGAGGGCUC
rnacentral:lncRNA from 1 species